AGAGUUUGAUCAUGGCUCAGGAUGAACGCUAGCUACAGGCUUAACACAUGCAAGUCGAGGGGAAACGACAUCGAAAGCUUGCUUUUGAUGGGCGUCGACCGGCGCGACGGGUGAGUAACGCGUAUCCAACCUGCCCCACCACGUUGGGGAUAACCUUGCGAAAGUAAGACUAAUACCCAAUGAUAUCUCUAGAAGACAUCUGAAAGAGAUUAAAGUAUUUAUCGGUGAUGGAGUGGGGUGCGUCUGAUUAGCUUGUUGGCGGGGUAACGGCCCGCCAAGGCGACGAUCAGUAGGGGUUCUGAGAGGAAGGUCCCCCACAUUGGAACUGAGACACGGUCCAAACUCCUACGGGAGGCAGCA
rnacentral:rRNA from 1 species